rnacentral:rRNA from 1 species
UGGCCUUGACAUACCAAGAAGUUAAUAGAGAUAUAAGUGUGCUAGUUUACUAGAGCUUGGAUAC